rnacentral:piRNA from 1 species
UAGGAUGUAGACGGUUCNGGUUUUUGCU